AGGAUAAGUGAUCAACUUUAUUAAUUAACACCAAAUAUUAUAUAGUAAGUUAUAUACAUCUUGUAAGUUAGUCUAAAAGUUAACAGGUGCAGACAUUUGCAUUCUCGUGUGUAUAUCGCAGAUACAUCUUCAAAUUUGUAUGUGCAUUCUGGUGUGUAUAUUGCAGAUGCAUCUCCAGAACAUCAAUAGUUUCUUUCUUUUAGCUUGCCCAUAGUAUUCGAAACGGCCUUGUGUUCCUAUCUUCCUUCCGAAAGAUGUUGGUAGCGCCUUUUAGAUCACCAGGGAUGAUUCCAUUUAACUACAACACUUGCAUUGUUGAGUAGCUAUGGGACAAUGCAAAGAAAAACUUAAGUUACUGGAGCAAAGUUAAAAUCUAUUACAUAAGGUGUAACCUUUUGUCAAACAAUCAUUGUGCAAUGUUGUUCAAAUAAAACCAAUAACUAUGGAUAGGAGGGCUAGAAGUAAAGAGCCUAUGUGAGUUAUGUGAGAAGAGGGCUUAAGGUUAAAAGCUUAUAGCAAGAGCUGACAGAGUAGUUCCCAUCAUUAUCCUUUUUCCGGAUCAUUCUGUUGUAGGAAGAGGAAUUGCAUAAAAUCUGCAACAUUUUAUCAGCAAUGCACAAAAUGUCUUCAUCAGUUAUCCGGUAACUUAGCUUACAGAGAUAGAUAAGUUUAGUAGAAACGUAGUUUUAGUAAGUAUUAUCAUAUAUUGUCAAUGUAACCAUAUCUCUCUUAUUUGAUACACAAAUAUUGAUGCUUUCUCAACAAAAGAAAUAGUACGGACAGAUUGUUCAUACUUCUGUUCACGACCAAGGCAAGAGCUGCACAUAAAUAAUUUUAUAGUGAGUAGUACCAUAUGUUGUCAUUGUAACCAUACCUCUGUUAAAUGUUAUAGAAGGUUCUUAUUUGAUACAUAAAUAUUGAUGAUAAAGUAUUCUUUCUCCACAAAAGAAAAAGUACGGUCAGAUUGUUCAUACUUCUGUUCAAGACUAAGGCAACAACUGCACAUAAAUAGUUUUAUAGUGAGUAGUACUAUAUGUUGCUAGUGUAAUUGUGCCUCUGUUAAAUAUUAUAUAUUAUUUGAUAAAUAAAUAUUGAUGAUAAAGUAUUCGUUCUCAACAAAAGAAAAAGUAUGGUCAGAUUAUUCAUACUUCUGUUUAUGAUCAAGGCAAGAGCCUCACAUAAACAUGAAAAAUUAGUAAGUUUGCCAGAACCAAGUUGCUACUUAGAUGAAUAAGUUAAUAACAAGACUGGUCAAUAUAGGCGAUAUUAGUACCUACAUGUAUCUGCAUAUGUUGCAAUAUAAGCAAUAAUACUAGCUACAAUGUAAGUGCUACAUAAGAAGAAAAGGGAAAAAACAUCAUUCAAUGUGUAUGAGUAAUGCUAAGUGCACAGGUAUUUAUGUUAGAUAUGUUUGAUUUGGAUUAAUGAAGUUCACUUAGAUAACACAUCAAAUUGUAUUAGAAGAAAAGAAUCCACAAUCCAUGAGAUACUGUAAUUAUAGAGUACCUGGCAUUGAAAAGGUAUAUAUAUGCAACAUCCUAUAAAAAAAUGAAUGAUUCCCUUUUUAAAUACAAAAAGAGCAUCAAACUUAACAUGCAUAGGGCUUCCAGAUGAAAGUGUCACAGAACCAUCGAAGACAAAUUGAUGUUUUCCAUAUGGAUAUCCUAAAACGCUGGUCCAUCAAAUUGACCUUAAACGUUAUAAUUCAACAGCACAAGCAUCCUAACUUUCACUUCUUUCAUUUCAUUUAAAUAUGCAAUCAACUUGGCUUUGUCUUGUCGAUUAACUGAAGCGAGGGUGGCCGAAGCCACGACCUUUGCUUUUCUUAACUUUCUUCUUAGGAUUUUGUGUUGUGCAAGGGGAGACUGUUAAAUAAAUCUUAUACUAUGUACCUAAACUUCAAAAGGACCAUCGCAAUCUAACAGCGGGAAAAAAAAGGCUUCACACUAACACACCAUUAGAAUUACUAAAUGGUAACACUGUAACAAAAUAAAAAAUUGUACCCUUUUUGCUUUCAAGUACAAAGAAUUGUUUUAAAAGUUCAUCCCGACUUACUUGAAAGAGUAUCUUUUUGUCAGUUACCUCUCUUUGACACUCAUAUUUUCAACUUCCUCUUUUUAAUUUUUUUUAAGUUUAUGUGAACAAAAGACCACAGGCCGAGUUUCACGUCUUCCUUGGAGCUUUCUCUUGUUCCAUCCUAUCAAACAUCAGUUAGGAGGUAGCUAUUAGCGGAUGCAUCACCUUCCACGUACACUUUCAAAGAGACCGAAGAAAUUUCGAAUCAAUAAAUGAAAAUAUUUGUCUCAAAGAUAUCAAUAACGACGAAAGAUAAAUAUAUAAAAUGUUUCAAUAAAAAAAGUUCAUUUUUUAGAUUCGACAUAGAAAAGCGUAAAUAAAGAACUUCAUCAAAAAAAAGAAAAAGAAUAACAACCCAGUAUAAUCUCAUUAAUGGGGUCUGAGGAGGGCAGUAUGUACGCAGACCUUAACCCUACCUUGGAGUAAAGAGGCUAUUUCCGAUAGACCCUCGUCUCCCUCCCUUCAAGAACUCCCCACCUUCCUCUUUGGGAUGACUCAAACUCACAGCCUCUUAGUUAAAAGUGGAGGGUGCUUACUAGUAGAGUAGCCCCUCUUCGUCAAAAAAAAAAAAAAGAAGAAGAACUUCAUAAAAAAAAAACAGAAUAGUGAAAGCAAAUGCUCAAAGGAAUCAGUAAGCACACAAUAACAUAAGAUGGACAAGACAUAUCAUCAAAUACCAUAUAUGCAUAGUCUACUUCAAUAGCUUUUAUUUCUUUGUCGCGAUAUAGGAAAGAUUGGCUCCUUUAGUGUAAUCCAAAUUUAUCUUCUUUGUCUGCAUUGCCCUUUUUUAUUAUUUUAUUGGCUUAGGUAUACAAAUGAUUAAAACAAAUUGGGGCGUCUAUUCCGGGAAUUGUUACAACGAAGAAUCUAUACUUCAAGUUCUUUUGUGAAGUUCUAUCUUCCACAUCAGAAAGAUUCCUUUUUGAUAAUUUAAUAAAAAUUAGCCCAAAAUUAUAGGGGGGGAAAGUACCUUGGAAAUUAUAACCAAGAUAUAUGUCUUGUGAAACAGAUAUAGAGAAAAAAAGCAGACAAAAACAUAACAAACAAUGAAAAAGGAAAGGACUUUAGGAUGAAGAAAUAUGUAAACCCAGAAAACUUAGCUUAUGGAGAGAGAGAUUAAGGGAGUGCUUCUUAAAAGAGAG
rnacentral:lncRNA from 1 species